GACGAACGCUGGCGGCGUGCCUAAUACAUGCAAGUUGAGCGCUGAAGGUUGGUACUUGUACCGACUGGAUGAGCAGCGAACGGGUGAGUAACGCGUGGGGAAUCUGCCUUUGAGCGGGGGACAACAUUUGGAAACGAAUGCUAAUACCGCAUAAAAACUUUAAACACAAGUUUUAAGUUUGAAAGAUGCAAUUGCAUCACUCAAAGAUGAUCCCGCGUUGUAUUAGAUAGUUGGUGAGGUAAAGGCUCACCAAGGCGAUGAUACAUAGCCGACCUGAGAGGGUGAUCGGCCACAUUGGGACUGAGACACGGCCCAAACUCCUACGGGAGGCAGCAGUAGGGAAUCUUCGGCAAUGGACGAAAGUCUGACCGAGCAACGCCGCGUGAGUGAAGAAGGUUUUCGGAUCGUAAAACUCUGUUGGUAGAGAAGAACGUUGGUGAGAGUGGAAAGCUCAUCAAGUGACGGUAACUACCCAGAAAGGGACGGCUAACUACGUGCCAGCAGCCGCCGCCG
rnacentral:rRNA from 1 species